UACGUAGGGACCGAGCGUUGUCCGGAAUCAUUGGGCGUAAAGAGCGUGUAGGCGGCCACUUAAGUCCUGCGUGAAAUCUUGCGGCUCAACCGCAAGCGGUCGUGGGAAACUGGGUGGCUAGAGUGCGGGAGAGGAGAGUGGAAUUCCUGGUGUAGCGGUGGAAUGCGCAGAUAUCAGGAGGAACACCUGCGGUGUAGACGGCUUACUGGACCAUAACUGACGCUGAGGCACGAAAGCGUGGGUAGCAAACAGG
rnacentral:rRNA from 1 species